rnacentral:rRNA from 1 species
GACCUCGGAUCAGGUUGGGAUACCCGCUGAACUUAAGCAUAUCAAUAAGCGGAGGAAAAGAAACCAACUGGGAUUGCCUCAGUAACGGCGAGUGAAGCGGCAUCAGCUCAGAUUUGAAAUCUGGUUCUUUCAGAGCCCGAGUUGUAAUCUGUAGAGGAGUCUUCGGGUUUGGAUCUGGCCUAAGUUUCUUGGAACAGAACGUCAUAGAGGGUGAGAGUCCCGUAUGAGGCCAGCUACCUAUUCCCAUGUGAAGCUUCUUCGACGAGUCGAGUUGUUUGGGAAUGCAGCUCAAAAUGGGUGGUAAAUUUCAUCUAAAGCUAAAUAUUGGCGGGAGACCGAUAGCGCACAAGUAGAGUGAUCGAAAGAUGAAAAGCACUUUGAAAAGAGAGUUAAAAAGUACGUGAAAUUGUUGAAAGGGAAACGC